rnacentral:tRNA from 1 species
GUCGAAGUGGCGGAACUGGUAGACGCGCCAGCUUGAGGGGCUGGUCCUCAUUUGAGGGUGGAGGUUCAAGGCCUCUCUUCGACACCA